GCCUAUGGCCACACCACCCUGAAAAUGCCCGAUCUCAUUUGAUCUCAGAAGUUAAGCAGGGUUGGGCUCAGGUCGUACUUGGAUGGGAGACUGCCUGGGAAUCCCAGGUGCUGUAGGCU
rnacentral:rRNA from 1 species